AUUGAACGCUGGCGGCAUGCCUUACACAUGCAAGUCGAACGGCAGCAUGAUCUAGCUUGCUAGAUUGAUGGCGAGUGGCGAACGGGUGAGUAAUACAUCGGAACGUGCCCUGUAGUGGGGGAUAACUAGUCGAAAGAUUAGCUAAUACCGCAUACGACCUGAGGGUGAAAGUGGGGGACCGCAAGGCCUCAUGCUAUAGGAGCGGCCGAUGUCUGAUUAGCUAGUUGGUGAGGUAAAGGCUCACCAAGGCGACGAUCAGUAGCUGGUCUGAGAGGACGAUCAGCCACACUUGGACUGAGACACGGCCCAGACUCCUACGGGAGGCAGCAGUGGGGAAUUUUGGACAAUGGGCGAAAGCCUGAUCCAGCAAUGCCGCGUGUGUGAAGAAGGCCUUCGGGUUGUAAAGCACUUUUGUCCGGAAAGAAAUGGCUCUGGUUAAUACCUGGGGUCGAUGACGGUACCGGAAGAAUAAGGACCGGCUAACUACGUG
rnacentral:rRNA from 1 species